rnacentral:lncRNA from 1 species
AUGUGGGUGUUUGAGCCAGGCUGUGGGUCACUCUGUGGCCAGCUGUGGGACACUACUGUGGGGUUUUCUCCCUCCCACCAGACUAUGUGGACAACUCUAAGGAUUACUUGGGGGUCUAUUUUGUGCACAUUGGACCCCAUCGGACCCCUUCAAUGGCAUUUGGCAGGAGGCUACAGUUCAUCUGAAGGAGUAAUGUGGCUGCAGUGGCUGUUAGCCAGGAUUUGGAGGAGGCUGUACAGACUCGGGCUGGGACUAGAAUCAGGACAGGUGAGUUUCUAUGCUCCCUUAGAACACACACCUAUUGGGCCCAAGUUAAGGGGCUACAGCUGCAGUCUAGUGAUGACUUGCAACACUUCCAGUUGCAUUAUGGAGUCCAAAUGAUCUCAUCCACCUGCCCGGUCUGAUGACCACUGAGUGCUUGCAGCCUUAGGCAUCAUUUUGUCUCUGAAGCUCCUUUGAGUGAUACAUUCUCUCUCUCUCUCUCUCUCUCUCUCUCUCUCCCCCUCCCUCUCUCUCUCUCUCUUUCUCCUCCGCCCUUCAUCCCUUCUCUUUCUGAUGUGUUGAUAGCCCUCUGUCAAGAUCCUUGUCCCAAAUUUUCAGAAAAGCAACCAGAAAUUUCCAUGCUGUUCUGCAGAACCAGAUUCCUCAUUCACCUUCCACUGUCUUCCCAGGAGGUCAUCCUCCUGGGACUCUCUGGGAAAGAUGCACCUCCUCUUCUUUAAUAGAGGUUGAGGAGUGAUAUUCUCCCUAAGAUCCCUAAUAUAUCUAUGGAAGAUAGGAGCAAGGGAUCUCAUGGUCUGUUCUUGCUGUAAAAAAGCCUUUUUCGGAAAAAAAAUAAAGGAAUCAGCCAAUCCCUCCUCAAUGCCAUCACCUCUUCUUGGUGAUUUUUUGGGGAAGGAGGGGGCGGGUUGCCAUGGCAACAGAUGCGAGCUCGGCUCAGUAAAGAAGGGACCUUGAUAUUUUUCUCUCUCAUUCUCUCAGUUGUGUGUGUAUGUGUGUGAGUUUGUGUAUGUGUGUGCUACACAUGCCUGUGCCCACACCAGGAAUUUUUUUAGAACUAAAGAAAGACCUUGUCUUCUCUCAGCUCCCCAAAUAUGGAAUGAUGGAAAACCACUCACUCCUCCAGGCAAGAGAAGAUUCGGGAUGGUUCUAGAGAAAGGGAAACAUUCAUGUGGGGCUGUUUUCCUACAUGUUUUUGCUAGAGAUUGCGCACAAUCAAGAGACCUUUGCAAAUGUUUGGGAUCUAAGGAUUGGAAAGAAGGGAAAAUUCUGGGUAGAGAGAAGUAAAUAAAGCAUAGACAGUGCAAGGUCUCAAGUGAUGAUGGAGAGGGCAACAGAAGGUCCAUUGAGUCUGGGGUAGCAUGCAGAUCCAUGUACAGCAUUAGGUGCUGAGAGGGAAAGACCCAGAGCACAUUUGGAUGUGGACACACACACAGAAGGUGGUAAACAUAAAUAUAUAUAGGGACAAACAUAGAACUACAUACCACAUGGGAAGGUGGAGACUUUAAAAAAGAUGAACAUAGAUGCAGGUGUAGGCAAAUAGAGGAAGAGAGAUACAGAUACACAGCUACAAAGACACAUGCAGACAGAUACAUGGAUAGACAUACAAAUGCAUUCAGACAGGAUCAGAUGCAGACACAUAGGGAUAUACAAACACAGUCUCAGUCAAGUGAACACACACACACACACACACAUGCACGUGCAGUCACGGACUCCCUCUCUUAAAUUGCUCAAACAUCCUUGAGGAGUAGUGCAUUGCUGGGAAUGCUGCAUGCUCACUCAGCAGGUUUUGUUGGGAGGCUUCUUCUCCCCUAAUGCCUUCUACGCACUCACCCCAAAGACCCUCUCCCAAUUCCUUUGCCCACAUUCCCAUAGCCAAAGGACUAGGACGCCACCCCCAUAUCAGGCUUCAAAUUCUUAGCCUGUUCUGCUGCUUCUGCUGCUGCUGCCACUUGUGGGGGAGAGUGAGUGACUCAGCCAGGCCAAGAUGACUCACACUGCCAGUAUUUUUAGCAGCGGCCAGGAGCUCUCUAGCGUGCCAGCCGCCCCCCUCCUCCUGCUUGCUAUUUCAGAACCAUCAUUGGUGAUAUAAAUAGCUCCUCUCCCACGGCCUGAAGCUUCUGCCAAGCUAUUUUUGGUUCUGCACAGUUAAAAAUAGUUACACGGAGGUGGAAGGCAAGAGGAGUGGAAGCUGGCCUAGGGAGAGGAGACAUUAGGGGCAUACAGAGAUUCUCAACUUGAAUCAGAGUGGGCAAACUAAGGUGCAACCUCAUCUACUCCCUCCUUUGUCCCUUUCUAGACCCUUCUUGCCUUCAAAAGUGCCUUCUCCCAAGUUCAUCCUCCUGGAAAAUUCCAAGGACUUCCCCUUGAGCCCACUUCUCUUCUCUUGUUAUUUAACUCCUAGAGCUCAGGAAUCUUGAGCCCCUGGAAUCCUCAUAUUUACCCGUACUGAGGAAAGGGACAAACAAAGGGGGGUGAGGCCCGUGUGGACCCGAGCCUGACUUUGAGGUUCCAGGCAGACCACAGCCAAUCUGACGGCAGAGCUAUUGUUCAGCACCAAGGACAGCGGCAAGCCUCUACUCUGUGGAUCGCUGGGCCGGCUGCAAACUAGCUGGACCAAGCCAAUAGGCCCCUUUAUUGUGGAGGGGAUAGCGAGAAUAUCUCCCAGCCAGGACCUGAAGCAUCUGUGGGUGAAAAAAUCCGGAACCUUGCCCUGGAUUUUCAUAUGGGAAAGUGGUCCAAAGAUCAAAGAAUGGAAACUUGAGGGAGGGGCAGGUGGGGACAGCAGCAGUCAGAUGAGAAAAAAAAAAAAAAAAGCACCAGAGACACCCUGAAGAGAAAGGGACUGUCUGUCAUUCAAGUCCAUAGAGUUGGAGGUAGUCACACACACACACACACACACACACACACGCACAGUAAUCCUUCCUUCUCAGUUGUGCCACUGACUACAAGAUGGUUUAUGUUGAUGGCUCCAGACAGACAGCUUCCAAAAAAACAUCAGGAUAGGCCCUUCAGAGCCAUGUACCCCUCUUCUAAGUCACUUUUCAACGUCCUCUUCUCCUACAUUGCCUCUCUUGCUACCAUUUUUACCAUGAAGGUUUGGGAAUUCUUUGACCAUAAGUUUUUCUUACUGGUGUCAAAGUUUGUCUCCACCCUUCCCUUUUGACUUUACAGGCUGUCCCUCAAUUUUAAGUGGCCGCAUUUCCAGCCCCCAGUUGAUUUCACACACCCUUCCUCUCCCAUACUUCAGAUUAAAAAAUCUUUGUACCACUGCCUUCUCAUUUUAAGGGACUCUGAGGUGAGAGAGGCACCCCCUUUGCCCCUUUAAGAAGCAGUUAUGCUGUAUGUAGUGAAUAAAGAAGAUGGGGGAGGUGAGGCAGAGGCCACAGGAUGUAGAAGCAAACCUGAAAAAGACAAGAAAGAAAGACAGACAUGAUCAAACAGAAGGGGAACCUUUGAGGGUCUGGUGGUGCACAAAGCUGAAAUAGUGAGAUGAAGAACUGAUGAGAUGGGGAGUUGAAAUAGAUCAAACGAGGGGUCUUAGGACCGAAGAAGGGGAGUGGGUU